rnacentral:lncRNA from 1 species
AAUGGUUUAAUGAGGACAACAUUCACUGAUUUAGUACAUGCUUAGUUGCUUACAUGGUUUCACAGUGUGAUCUUUUAUCCAAGAAUCUUUUAUUAAAUUUACCAAGAAUCUUUUGAUCACCAUCUAGAAAUCUUUUUGUUUUCCUUAAAAUACUAAUCCAAUACAAUUUGCAUUUGUCACUAACUUAUCAGCCUUCUGCUUUUUACGGAAUGGAAGCAGUUCACUUCUCGCUAGUCACAGCAGUCCCUUGAACUGGCGCUUUGUUCAUUGAAAUAAAUGCAACCUGCAUAAACAAACACAAAUAAGUAGUUAUAAGUUCAGCUACCUAUAUAAGCAACCAAGCUAAAGCUAAAGCUAAAAGAUCAGUUUCUAAGUGUGUGUUUGGAAACAAAGUCAUCCACUGCCACCUCACAUUUAAGAGCUUCCCACCGUGAUUUUUCUAAAGCUACAUUUGUUAGCUUCUGCAGUGGUGUCGUGAUUUUUGAGAAUUCCAAACAUAGACUAAAACCAGGCAAGCAAUUUCAACUACCCACUAUAAGACAUCAUUUUAGAAAAAGGUUGUGUAUUGAAUUGAAGAUGUUUACGGUUACCUUAAGGAAACUGUUAAGAAAUAUGGUUGGACCUAACUCAACCCUACAAAACCGGUUGGUAGGGUGAGGGUUGUCCCCACUUAUAAACUCAUGUUCAGGUUAUAUAUUGUCCGAUGUAGGACUCUUAACACACCCCCUCACGCCCAGGACUGGACAUCUGGAGCGUGGAAAUAAAUGGUGGGUGGCCCGAUAGCGAAAACCAUAGUAGGUGGCCCACUGGAUCUUAAACGAGGCUCUGAUACCAUGUUAAGAAUGUGUGGUUUGGGCCUAACUCAACCCUACAAAACCGGUUGGUAGCCAAAGGAUACACUCAGAUUUUUUGAUUGGAUUAUAGUGAUACCUUCUCGCCUAUAGCCAAGAUGGCAUUUAUUAGACUUCUUCUAGCCAUUGCAGCCAUUCGACAUUGACCUCUUCAUCAACUUGACGUCAAAAAUGCUUUUUUACAUGGUGAUCUUAGAGGAAGUAUAUAUGGAGCAACCACCUGGAUUUGUUGCUCAAUGGAAGUCAUUGAAUAUGGUGUGUAGGUUACACAGGUCUCUUUAUGGUCUUAAGCAAUCUCCGAGAGUUUGGUUCGGCAGAUUCAGCGCUGCAGUACAACAGUUUGGUAUGGUCCGUAGUGAAGCUGAUCAUUCUAUUUUUUAUCGUCACUCAGUCCAAGGGUGUAUUUAUCUUAUUGUGUACGUAGAUGAUAUUGUCAUAACUGGUAGUGAUCAGCAGGGUAUACUCCAGUUAAAACAACAUCUCUCGAAUCAAUUUCAGACAAAAGACCUUGAUAAACUCCGCUAUUUUUUGGGUAUUGAGGUAGCCCAAUCUAAAGAUGGUUUGGUGAUUUCUCAGCGGAAAUAUGCUAUGGAUAUUUUGGAAGAAACAGGUUUGUUGAAUGUUAAACCAGCUGAUACUCCUAUGGAUCCAAGUGUCAAACUACUAUCCAAUCAGGGGGAGCCUCUAUCUGACUCAGGAAGGUAUAGGAGAUUGGUUGGAAAGUUGAAUUAUCUCACAGUCACACGUCCAGGCAUUUCUUUUGCGGUUAGUGUGGUAAGUCAGUUCUUAAAUUCCCCUUGUCAGGAACAUAUGGAUGUUGUUAUCCGGAUUCUGAGAUACAUCAAAUGUGCUCCAGGAAAAGGACAUACUCAGAUAAUUGGAUACUCUGAUGCUGAUUGGACAGGGUCACCCAUUGAUAGACGAUCCACCUCUGGAGAUUAUGUACUUGUUGGAGGAAACCUUGUAUCCUGGAAAAGUAAGAAACAAAACGUAGUUGCAAGAUCAAGCGCCGAGGCAGAGUAUAGGGCCAUGGCAAUGGCAACAUGUGAACUUAUUUGGUUAAAACAGUUGCUCAAGGAACUUCAAAUUGAAGAAGCAAGACCAAUGACACUUAUUUGUGAUAAUCAAGCUGCAUUGCACAUUGCUUCAAAUUCAGUCUUCCAUGAGAGGACCAAACAUAUUGAGAUAGACUGUCACUUUGUUAUAGAGAAGAUCGAGUCAGGUGACAUCGUCACAAGCUUUGUCAACUCUAAUGAUCAAUUGGCAGACGUGUUUACAAAAUCUCUACGAAGUCCCAGAACUAGUUAUAUAUGUAACAAGCUUGGUGCAUUUGACUUAUAUGCUCAAGCUUGAGGGAGAGUGUUGAUAUUUGUAAAUAUAUAGUGUUGAGAAUAUUUGUAUAUAGAAUAGUCCCACAUCGACUAUAUCAUGUAAUUAGUUGUAAUCUUUUUAUAUAUAAUAAAGUCUCCGUAGUGCUUUUAAAGACACACGGUUUAACCUAAAUGUCUCUUAGUCUCUCCUAAUUCAAUAGAAACCAUUGUCUAGAAUACAUCAGUGUUAUUCACGAAUACAACUAAAAUCUAAAACAUUUCCAACUGUGGUUAAUGACUAACUAAUUCAAGAAUAUUGAAAUGUCUUUCUAGUUUAAUUCCUUUAUUCAUGCCUAAUUCAGCAGAGUUGCAAGUUGCAACGACAAAGCAGCGACAUCACGGGGGAACAACGUCAAUGAGGCUGGAAAAGUGUAACUGUGUAAGGCUGUUGAGGAAAAGUGUAACAUGUGUUGUGUUUAUAAGUGGGGGCAAUUCUCACCUUAAGCCGGUUUUGUAAGCAUGAGUUAGGUCAAAUUCUAAUUCUAUCACAACUUAUUUUAUUUAACUGUGAACAAUAACUCCCAGAAACUGUUAUUGCUUGACAGUAGAGACACAUGCAUUGAAAAAAAACUUAUGAAUCUUAAAAUGCAUGAACAAGAUGAAUGAAUCAAGUUUAGUUCAUUGCUACACUUGUAAUUAACUAGACCAUAUUUCUAACAUUUCAUAUGAACUGUAGUGACUGCCAAAUAAAUCAUCACUGAGAAUACAUAGGGGUGUUCAUGGUUCAAAACCAUAACCAAAUUGAACCAAAUAUAUGGAUCAGUUUGGUUUUUAAAACCACUUUGAUAAAACCGGUUUAUAUUUUUAAAAUCGGUUUAUGUUUGGAUCGGUUUGGUUAAUAACCGGUUUGUAAUAAAAAAAUUAAUUUUUGUUUGGAUCAAUUUUAAAACCAAAUUUUCCUCAAAUUUAAUUUUCAUUCCAACAACUUCUUAAUUUUAUCCAAUCGCUCUUGAAAUCAAUCACUAUUUAUAAAUUUCAAUCUGAAAAAUCAAAAUUAAGUAAUUACCUAUAAGAUAGAAAAAAAAUCGGUAUUUUUCAAACCAGUUUUUUAUUUUCUUUAAAAAAGCAGUUUUAUAAAAAAAACAAUUUUAUAAAAAAAACAAUUUAAAAAAAUUAUAAAAAUAAAUCAGGUUUAAAAAAAAUAAUUUUAUAGCAAAAAUAAUUUAAUUUCUUUAACCUGCCGUUUUAGUUCAACUAGUUUUAAAUUUAGUUUAUGUUAAAAAUAGUUAUUUAAAAAAACUGUUUUAAAUUUAACUCUUAUAAUCUCCACAAAUAAUAUCUUGAUUAAAAACAGAAAUAAUUUCAUUGAAUUUGUUACUAGACUAAUUAACAACAAUAAAAUUCUUCAACCUACACUAUGAAUAUAACAAAAUAUGAAAUAUGAAGAAUCUUUAUGUUUUUUCACUUCUAGUUCCAUAAGCAAUUAAUCAGCUUCUUCUGCAAUAAGCUUAAUGCUGCAUAAAAUAAAAUGAAAUUACAAGAAUGUUAGCAUAUUCAAAAGUGAAAACAGUGAAAUUGCAAGUCUAUUUUACAUUUUAAGACAUGGACGACCCGAUUUCUAAGACCAUGUCUCGAACAAAAUCUAACUCAAACUCAUUAUCUCAAAAAAGAAUAUAUUCAAGUUAAGGAGCCUAGUUUAAAGUACAAAAAUAUGAGACCCGUGUAAGGGAAGAUUCAGUAACACAUUAAGUCAAAACAAAUCACGCAACAACAUAAACCCACAAGUGCAGAAAAUGCACAUAUAAUAAAUUGAGUAGAAUAUGCAAAAACAAACUUUAGAAUUCUUUACCGUUAAAUCAUCUUCGAGUGUAACAGAAGUUGAAGAGGUUGAACAACUAGCACCAUCUUCCGUAUAAAGUAAUUCUACAAAACAUAUAAAGAGAUUUCAUUAUACCUCAAGUAUAAUAAAUAAUAAUACAUUAGCGAAUAUACUUAGUUAUCAUACCUUGCUCAAAUCUCUCAAGAAUAUCAAAAUCUUCAUUUGUAAUCAAGGAGGAAGAUGUUCCUUUGAGCCAAUCUUGGGUGCAUAUCAACGCUUCGACUGUUGUAGGUGUUAAUGAGCUGCGAUAUGGAUCAAGCACCCUUUCUCCUGUACUGAAUGCAGAUUCAGAAGCCACUGUGCUUAUAGGUAUAGCCAGCAUGUCUCUUGCAAUGUUUGAAAGGAUGGGAUAUCGGCCAGAGUUCACUUUCCACCACUCUAGAACAUUUAUCUCCAUGUUAUGCUCUAACUUCUCUCCAAGAUAAGUAGUUAACUCAUUAUCCGCAUUGUCACACCCUUCUGAAAUAUAGAANGGCCAUUAGUUUUGAAUUUCUUUUGAAAUAAGAAAAAGUUUGGUACAUUAAGUAGGAAAUUAUAUUUACUCAGCAUGUUUAUUGCAUUUUUCUCACACUUUAAUUUUAAACCAGUAAAACAAAAGAAAUACUUAUUCCAAGACAUGCUCUCACGUUUCUUGUACUACAAAAGAAUAAACUAUUGUGUAGAGAAAAAAAUAUGAAGAACAUGAGAAAGUGCAAUUGAUGGAAGCUUAUUCUCUUGUUAUUAUAAACAAGGGAGUAGCAAUUUUGUAGCCACAUUUUGCAUAAUUUGCGACAAAAAAGCCACAGAUAACAUACCUAUAACCCACACAUACGAAAAUGGAAAUAUUGAGCAGCAAUAGAGUAAGGACCCCUCAAAUAUAGUUAAAGCUGCAAGUCAAUUAUAACUUUGUAGUGAAAAAAGGGAGCUUUUAACAAGAAACAAAUUAAAAUUGGAAGUCGGAAUCAUCCCAUUGAAGAACAGCAGAAUCAAUGUUCUGUUCCCUUUUGAGCCUGUCUUUUAGGAACCAAUCACAUACCUUUCCAGCAUUGAGCUCCUCUAUUGGACAACCUUCUUGUUCUGAUAUCACUUUUAGUAAAUUCAAUGAAGAUAUCUACCAACACAAACAUGAAAAUUCAUUCAUUAAAAUUGACCAAUGAAAAAACACAAUCCUCAGAGAUAUCAUAUGACUAGAGAACAGAGUUAAGGUAACUACUAAGUAUUAAGUACCGUUAAACGGCAUAAAAAGCGUUCAUGAGUUAAUGGAUUCUAUAGAAAAUCACAUUUCAAAUUUUGUUUUAAUCAAGUCACAUAGCUAUCAUUCAAACUCCAUUAGCAGUUAACUAACUCAAGUUGAUCUAGCAUUUUUGACUAACCUAAUUCCAACUAUUUUUCAACCUACACUAACAGAUUUCUACCACUGCAACUAACUGUUCAAGCAAAGUCAGUUAAUUGACAUCCAAUUUAAUAAACAAUAGCUUCAUCCAACCUCAAUCUCCUAAUAGUUUCUUUUCCACCAAUUUCAUCUCUUUAACUAAUUGCAACCUAAGCAAUCAUUAGUAAUACAACAGCAGUUCCAGUUCAAUACCAUACACUGACAGAGAUGCUACAAUCCAAACAUGUUUAUGUUUAUAAAAAAUCAAAAUAAUUGGUGGUUGUGUGGUAAAAUAGCAACCAUAGUCAGCAACAGCAACAACAACUCUUACCGGGGCGACGACGAAUCAUACACAGCUUGAAGUGAAAAAUCCUUUAAAACCCAACCCAAAAUUAUGAGUGACAAAGUACUGAUAUAACAAAUUCUGGGCUAAGCAAAUAGAAGAUAGAGAUGAAUACUUCAAAGCUUUGAUUGAGAUGAUUCCAUGAAAUCCUAAAAUCCUAAUUCUGAGUUGCAAGUUGAAGGGUUUGAGAAGAAAGGGUUAGGGUAGGGAUUUGGUAGAAGAUACACCGGACAAUCUUUGUUUCAGUUUAUCAAAAAUCAUGCGAUGCAGGUUUUGAUGAGUUUGAAAUUUGAAGAAUGAUGAAGAGAAAAAAAAGAUGAAAAAAAUUUGGAUUUUUGAGAAUUAGGGAUUCUGAAAUUUGGGUUUUGGGUUAAUUUGAAAUGAUUAUUGAAAAAUGGUAACCGUUUACUUGAACCGGUUUGUAAUAAUGGUUAUCGGUUUUUUUUUAAUUUGCUAAAUGGUUCACCAAUUUCAAAAUAUAAUUUUGGGUUGGUUUUUAAAGUUUGGAUUAAUUUGGAUAUGAAUUUGGUUCAUGGUUAUUGGUUAUUUUGCACACCCCUAAGAAUACAUACCUAAGCCAAUGGCAUCAGAACCCUUCAUGAUUUUCAGCCCUCAUGCAUGUAUCAAUGAACACCCUGCA